AUGCUCCUGCAGCACCGCCAUCGCCCUGUUCCCCACCGCCUCGGCCGUCGUCGAACCGCGGUGGACACCACCGCUCCAGCGCCAUCCCCGGCCUCCCGAGACCUCCCCGAAGCCCGCUACCCCGAGACCGCUGCUGAUGCCCCUGUGAUCGACUACGUCGACGACGGCCCUUCUUCCCUUUCAGCGGAGCUUCCAGAUGUCGGAGCCCAGGAGCCAGAUGCCACCGCCGAUGCCUACUACUACGUGGAGACCGCCGACGACCAGGAGCAGUUAGGAGGCUCCCAGGCAGGAGGCCUUGCCUUUUUGAUCGUAGAUGCUUUUGUGCUGGCCUUCUUAAGGCAAACUUGUCUAACUCAUGUCUGUACUCAGAUAUUGUUGCUUCCACUGACUCAUGUGUUUUCGAGCUUAUGUAUUCGAGCCCUCAAGGCUCAUGGCUUGUAA
rnacentral:rRNA from 1 species